CCUACGGGCGGCAGCAGUGGGGAAUAUUGCACAAUGGCGGAGACCCUGAUGCAGCGAAGCCGCGUGAGUGAAGAAGGAAUUAGUUGUUGAAAGCUCUAUCAGCAGGGGAGAAAAUGACGGUACCUGAGUAAGAAGCCCCGGCUAACGACGUGCCAGCAGCCGCGGUAAUACGUAGGGGGCAAGCGUUAUCCGGAUUUACUGGGUGUAAAGGGAGCGUAGACGGCAGUGCAAGUCUGGAGUGAAAGGCGGGGGCUCAACCCCCGGACUGCUGUGGAAACUGUACGGCUGGAGUGCAGGAGGGGUAAGUGGAAUUCGUAGUGUAGCGGUGAAAUGCGUAGAUAUUAGGAGGAACACCAGUGGCGAAGGCGGCUUACUGGACUGUAACUGACGUUGAGGCUCGAAAGCGUGGGGAGCAAACAGGAUUAGAUACCCCUGUAGUC
rnacentral:rRNA from 1 species